rnacentral:rRNA from 1 species
AUGGGGUUCGUGUCCUUCGCCGGGAGGGUCCUCUUCGCCUCCGUCUUCCUCCUCUCCGCCUACCAGGAGUUCACUGAAUUUGGAACUGAUGGCGGGCCAGCUGCAAAGAAUCUUGCGCCUAAGUUUAACAGUUUCACCAAAAAUAUUUCUGUACACCUCGGAGUUGUGGUGCCUCAUGUAGAGUUGAAGCAUGUGGUUGCUGCUACCAUUGGUCUGAAGGGUCUGGGUGGUCUCCUGUUUAUCGUCAGCAGUUCAUUUGGUGCUUAUCUCCUGGCUCUCUACCUUGCUUUCAUCACGCCCGUCGUCUAUGACUUCUACAACUACGACAUGGAGAAGGCUGAAUUUGUGCAGAUCUUCAUGAAGUUCACACAGAACCUGGCGCUGUUUGGAGCCCUUCUCUUCUUCCUGGGCAUGAAGAACUCGGUCCCCAAGAGGCAGGCCAAGAAGAAGGCCCCCAAGUCCAAGACAACUUAG